rnacentral:rRNA from 1 species
CCCUUAGAUGUUCUGGGCCGCACGCGCGCUACACUGACGGUGGCAACGAGUUUUUCCUUCGCCGAAAGGUGUGGGUAAUCUUUUGAAACAUCGUCGUGCUGGGGAUAGAUCAUUGCAAUUUUUGAUCUUGAACGAGGAAUUCCUAGUAAGCGCGAGUCAUCAGCUCGCGUUGAUUACGUCCCUGCCCUUUGUACACACCGCCCGUCGCUACUACCGAUUGAAUGGUUUAGUGAGGACUCCUGAUUGGCGCCGCCGCCCCGGCAACGGAGCAGCGGACUGCCGAAAAGUUGUUCAAACUUGAUCAUUUAGAGGAAGUAAAAGUCGUAAC